rnacentral:rRNA from 1 species
GACGAACGCUGGCGGCGUGCUUAACACAUGCAAGUCGAACGGAAAGGCCCUGCUUUUGUGGGGUGCUCGAGUGGCGAACGGGUGAGUAACACGUGAGUAACCUGCCCUUGACUUUGGGAUAACUUCAGGAAACUGGGGCUAAUACCGGAUAGGAGCUCCUGCUGCAUGGUGGGGGUUGGAAAGUUUCGGCGGUUGGGGAUGGACUCGCGGCUUAUCAGCUUGUUGGUGGGGUAGUGGCUUACCAAGGCUUUGACGGGUAGCCGGCCUGAGAGGGUGACCGGCCACAUUGGGACUGAGAUACGUCCCAGACUCCUACGGGAGGCAGCAGUGGGGAAUAUUGCACAAUGGGCGGAAGCCUGAUGCAGCAACGCCGCGUGCGGGAUGACGGCCUUCGGGUUGUAAACCGCUUUCGCCUGUGACGAAGCGUGAGUGACGGUAAUGGGUAAAGAAGCACCGGCUAACUAUGUG